GUCAGUGUAUCAAUACCUUGGCUCUAGACUGCUUACUGAUAACAAAGCAACACUUGAAAGUCCAGUAACAGUCUACAGUCAUGGCUACUGAUGUCUGGC
rnacentral:pre_miRNA from 1 species